AUGGGCAGGUAUGGGAUUUGGAAGCAGUAUGAAAGUAACAUCAUUUGUUUUUGCAGACUUUGUAAUUUUCUUCUGGAAAACCCAGAUUAUCCAAAGAGAGAAGAUAGAAUCAUUAUAAAUCCCAGUAGCAGUCUGCUGGCCAGCCAGGAUGAGACAAAGUUGCCUAAAAUAGACUUUUUUGACUAUUCUAAAUUGACUCCUCUUGACCAGCGCUGCUUCAUCCAAGCUGCUGACCUCCUCAUGGCCGACUUCAAAAUGCUCAGUAGUCAGGACAUCAAGUGGGCCCUGCACGAGCUCAAAGGACACUAUGCAAUCACCCGAAAGGUGCUCUACUUGGUCUUCCUCUUGGGGUGACACCUCUUGGCUACAUCUUCCCAUGAUAACAGAAUGAACAGUCCAGCUUGUGGAAAUUGGGAUGGUUUAUGAUUGCUAAGGAAUUAGGGUGAAGAUAAAUACGUAUUUGCUGAUCAUGCAGGGUUAAAUGAAAAGAAAUAAUAGAUAGUUGAGAAGCAGAGAAGUCCUGGUUUGACCAUAAAAACCUGGAGGGUAAUACAUUCUACUGUGGAAUGCAGGAGUAUGAAAGAUGUGUUCUAAUCCUGCUCCUUCCUGAUUUGCUUUCUGACUUGGGACAGGUCACACGACCAUCCAUCCCCCAGAUGGCUCAGUUAUCAGUGAUAGGACAUAAGGUCUGUAAAGAGUCCGGGAACAAGAAUGGGCAGCUACUGACAGCUCCUAGCGUUUUCCCCCCAGGAUCCUAAAAUAGAUAGCACUUAAAGGCCUUUGUUAAGGGUGAGAAGGGUGCUGGUUCGUGGUGGGUAACACAGAUAUCUUCCAUGAAGGACAGCACAUGGUGCCCACUUUGUAGCUGUGGCCAGAACAGGAGUGCAUGCACCAGCAGAGACCUUGGCUUACUCCUCUUGGUCGCCCUUACUGCCAUUAAAUUCUAUUCUACUGAAAUUCUUGUGAUUCUCAGCAAACACUGUGAUGUUUCUUUUGUCCAAAGGACAAACAUGGAGUUACCGUAGUGGUUAAAAUACUCAUUGGGUCUUACCUGUAGGAAGAGAAGAACCAAGCCGAGGACUGUGGCUCAUGCUGAGGUAGGCCAAGCCCCUUCCACCUUUUUUUUUUUUGAGAUGGAGUCUCGCUCUUUCACCCAGGCUGGAGUGCAAUGGCGCGAUCUCAGCUUACUGCAGCCUCUGCCUUCCCAGUUCAAGCGAUUCUCCUGCGUCAGCCUCCUGAGUAGCUGGGACUACAGAUGCUCACCACCACACCUGGCUGAGUUUUGUAUUUUUGGUAAAGAUGGGGUUUCACCAUGUUGGCCAGGCUGGUCAGCAACUCCUGACCUCACAUGAUCCGCCUGCCUCAGCCUCCCAGAGGGCUGGGAUUACUGGCAUGAGCCACCGUGCCCGGCCAAAAAAAGACUGAAAGAAAAAUAGAGGGGCUUUGAAAGGGUAAAACAGGAGACAACCUAAGGUAGACCAAGGGUCUCCAGAAGGGCCUCCCUGAACAAGGAACAUUUAAUCCCAGACCCAAGUAGGAGUUUCGUGGAAGAUGUUGGUAUCAUUUGUUGAGGUGAGAACUAGUAUAAACAUUUGCUUUGGAGGGAAAUAAUCAUGAAUUCAGUCUGGGAAACAUUGGUUGCCAGUGUGCUGAGAAGUGCCUGUGAGAUAUCUAAGUAAAAAUAAUUCACUGAAAGGUUGAAUGGACUAAAAAGUUUGGAAAAUACAGACUGUAGAUAGGUUUUAGGGGUGGGUGUGUGUGUGUGUGUGUGUGUGUGUGUGUGUGUGUGUGUGUCUCCUUGGGUUUUAUGGUGAUAGGACUUUGAGAGUCAUCAGCAUAUGGAAAAUCUCACCAGCCAGGAUGAGGUACCCGGAGAUAUCAGGUGAGAAGAGAGGACUGCUGACAUGUGAAGACCGAACGGAGGAGGCAGGCAGACAGGAAGGAGGAAGUUGUGAGACUGGAGCAGUCUGUAUUAUCACAUCAUCAUCAUUGUUAUUCUUGUUUACUAACAGGAUCUCUCUCUGUUACCCAGGCUGGAGUACAGUGGCACAAUCAUGGCUUAUUGCAACCUUGACCUUCUGGGCUCAAGCCGUCCUCCUGCCUCAGCUUCCCCUGUAGCUAGGACUACAGGUGCAUACCACCACACCUGGAUGAUCUUUUUAUUUUGUGUUUUGUAGAAAUGGGGUCUUGCUAGAUUGUGCAGGUUGGUCUUGAACUCCUGGCCUCAGGCUGUCCUCCCAUCUCAACCUCCUAAAGCACUGGGAUGCCACCAUGCCCAGCCUGUUAUUAAAUACUGCUAAGAGUUUGUGCAAGAUGAGGGCUAAAAUGUAGAUGGUAGACUUGUAGACUUGGCCACUCAAUAAUAAGCAUAGAUUAGUAAGUGCAAAGGCAGGGUAGAUGCCAGAUUAGAGACAGCUGGAAAGCUUGUGGUCAUAAGGGUGAGGUGGUGAAACAGCAGAUAAACAGCUCCUUUGAUAAGUUUCUCUACAAAGAGGGGAAGAAGAAAGAGGGGCUGGCAUUGAAAGAGAGAUGAGAUCACCUUCUCAACACUGCCACACUGGGGAUUAAGUUUCAGCAGGAGUUUCAGAUAAACACUGCCAUUAUAGCCACCCCCCUUCUCAUGCCGCCCAGGCUUGGACCCCAGCCUGCCCUGCACCCUAACAACAUAGCCAUAGGACAUGAGCCCCAGGGCCUCCUACCCCCUACCACACUCAGGAGUCCCACCCAGUCUUCCUGAAAGGCUCCCACUCUUCCUUCUUCUCUUACAGGCAGAAUGGCCCUACCUCACAUACCCCUCCUUCCUGUUCAAAUCAGGUACCCCUUCUCCCUCCUUUUUUUAGGAUGGCAAAGACUUGAGCACUUUUUUUUUUUUU
ensembl:lincRNA